rnacentral:rRNA from 1 species
AUUGAACGCUGGCGGCAUGCCUUACACAUGCAAGUCGAACGGCAGCACGGGUGCUUGCACCUGGUGGCGAGUGGCGAACGGGUGAGUAAUACAUCGGAACAUGUCCUGUAGUGGGGGAUAGCCCGGCGAAAGCCGGAUUAAUACCGCAUACGAUCUACGGAUGAAAGCGGGGGACCUUCGGGCCUCGCGCUAUAGGGUUGGCCGAUGGCUGAUUAGCUAGUUGGUGGGGUAAAGGCCUACCAAGGCGACGAUCAGUAGCUGGUCUGAGAGGACGACCAGCCACACUGGGACUGAGACACGGCCCAGACUCCUACGGGAGGCAGCAGUGGGGAAUUUUGGACAAUGGGCGAAAGCCUGAUCCAGCAAUGCCGCGUGUGUGAAGAAGGCCUUCGGGUUGUAAAGCACUUUUGUCCGGAAAGAAAUCCUUGGUUCUAAUAUAGCCGGGGGAUGACGGUACCGGAAGAAUAAGCACCGGCUAACUACGUGCCAGCAGCCGCGGUAAUACGUAGGGUGCGAGCGUUAAUCGGAAUUACUGGGCGUAAAGCGUGCGCAGGCGGUUUGCUAAGACCGAUGUGAAAUCCCCGGGCUCAACCUGGGAACUGCAUUGGUGACUGGCAGGCUAGAGUAUGGCAGAGGGGGGUAGAAUUCCACGUGUAGCAGUGAAAUGCGUAGAGAUGUGGAGGAAUACCGAUGGCGAAGGCAG